rnacentral:lncRNA from 1 species
UCGUACGAUACUUGGUAUACGCUAUCACUGGCUAUAUCGGGCUGCGACAGAGUGGUAUCAGAGCAGCUCGUCUGCUCUGAGUAUAAUCUCUUAUAGAGUUUUUUUUAUUGAGUCUAAGCUAGAGUCUUAGACUAAAAGAGCUAUGUCACUGACAAGAGCCAACACCCCAUCUCCGCCAGCUUGACGAGGUAUGCAAGUUAAAGUUUAAAGUUACUUAUGAGCAUGAGAUAUGCAAUUGAUAAGUUGAUGAUAUUUAUAAGUUGAGAAAGAAGCAUGAUUAGUACAUGAUGCAAUA